GACCUGGGACACCAGAAUUCUUCCCCUUUAAUUAGGGACAGGUUUAGACCUGGGACACCAGCAGUCUUCCCCUUUAAUUAGGGACUGGUUUAGACCUGGGACACCAGCAUUCUUCCCCUUUAAUUUGGGACUGGUUUAGACCUGGGACACCAGCAGUCUUCCCCUUUAAUUAGGGACUGGUUUAGACCUGGGACACCAGCAUUCUUCCCCUUUAAUUAGGGACUGGUUUAGACCUGGGACACCAGCAGUCUUCCCCUUUAAUUAGGGACUGGUUUAGACCUGGGACACCAGCAUUCUUCCCCUUUAAUUAGGGACUGGUUUAGACCUGGGACACCAGCAGUCUUCCCCUUUAAUUAGGGACUGGUUUAGACCUGGGACACCAGC